UUCCUCUUCUCCUGUCAGAAGUGCCAGGGAUUUUUCUCUUAUCUUCAUUGUGAGAACCUGCUACCACUUAGGAGCUAACAGGCAGUAAACCAGGCACGGGAUUGGGGGGCAGCUGUCUGUCCAGGAACUCAGCAGUUACGCUUCCUGUUCUCCUGCCAGGCUGGGUCCCCUGGAGGUCUUUCUCUGGUAAAUUGUGAUUCUCUGUGUCUGCCUUUCUGUCUUUCCAAUUUGGGGGGCAGCAGCUUGUCUUGUGACCUCAGUUCUCUGGUGGAUCUAUGAAAAGUUGUUGAUUUUUAGUUUGUUUAGCUUUUUUUCUUAUUGUGUGGACAGGAAAGACAAUAUCCAAGCUCUCUAUGCCAAUCAGGAAACCGGAAGCUUAAAACUAAAGUUCUCCUACUGUUUAAAUUAUAGGGGAAGCAGCAUGUCUGUGAUGGGAGCAUAGGCUCUGCUGCCCUAGGUGUUAGGAACUUCUCCCAUCCCUCCUGACUGCUUAACCGAAAGGAGCUAUGGGCCCCACCACACACCAGCUGAAGGAAUCCACACCAAAGCACGAUCCCAGGCACAGGACCUGUGUGCACAUUAUAACUGAAAAGCUCCAGCCUCCGUUACUUCUAACCUUUUGUUACAGGACUUUGGGUCCCAAAGAAAUUCUUUCGAGGUUCUGGGUGUCCUGAACAAAGAAUUGGACAAGACAUGCAGAAAAGGCUGGCCUUGAAGUCACAGGAUCCUCCUGCCUCAGCCUCUUAAAUGCUGGGAUUGCAGGCGUGUACCACCACACCGGCAGAAUGUUUGCUUUUAAAAUAAACAGUAAAUGAACACUCUUUAAUACAGUGUGCCUCAUUUUCUUCAUUUUGGUUUUCUUUCUUUUGGCUUGUGCACAAAGAAGAGUUGCGAUAGACUAAAAAUCUCUCAAGUACCUAGUCAAACAAUGACAGUGAAAAUGAUAGAAGGUAUGUUGUUAAAAGAAUGAAGUUCAGGGGUUUUUUUGUUUGUUUUUUGAGGCAGGGUCUCCCUUUGUAGUUCAAGCUGGCCCUGAACUCACUAUGUAGCCCAUGCUGGCCUUGAACUCGAAGUGAUCCUCCUGCCUCAGCCUCCCCAGUGCUGGGUUUACAGGCGUGAGCCACCACACCUAGCUGAAGUUGAGUUUUGAUAGGGUAGCUCAUAAUCAUCUUUAGCAGUGUUGUAGAUUCCCUUUGUGAUGCUAGUAAUAUGCAUAGCAAAAGCCUCAUAUAUAUGGAGAGAGCAAGAAAGAUGGAGUUGUAGUUAUAUAGACAUGCUCCUCGAUUUAUGAUAACAUUUUGUCCCAAACCCAUUGUAAGUUGAAAAUACCAUGAGUUGAAAAUUCAUUUACUAUUCCUAGUCUCCCUAGCACCAUUGCUCAGCAACACAGCACACUGUCGGGUUGUUUACCCUUUUGAUUGUACGGCUAAUGGGUACCAGCAUUGGCAGGGAAGAUUUUAUCAUCCUGUAUCACUAGCCUGGGGAAAGCUCAAAAUUCAAACUUGAAAUAAGAUUUAUACAGAUUGCAUAUUGCUCUAGCACCACCAUAAAAUCAAAGAAUUGUAAUCACACCAUUGUAAGUCAGGAGCUGUCUAUAUGUAAAUAAAUUAAUCCAUAUGUAUUGGGGGGGUGUUGUUUGUUCAUUUCAUCAAUGUUACCGGGCUGAUUUUGGUUGUUGGAAUUUUCACUGUUUUUAUAUGUAAGGUAGAGUAAUUUGCAGAUUUAUUCUUAAUUAUAAGCUGAAUUCGAACUACCAAUUUUAGGGCAUGGCCUUUAUCUUUUUGUAAAUAAACCAGCUUGUCAAAGGCCACAUUCAUUGGUAGAGGAAGUGGAAUUAGAGUCCUGUUUCUUUCACUUUCACAGGCACAUUGUUGGAAAGAAUGGGAUUCUUAGGUGUAGGAUGUGGUUGUUUUCUCCCAUCCUGCCUGUGAGGUCAAAGCAUUUGAGGAUAAAUAGAAUCACCAUGCUUCUCUUUGCCCUGCAAGCCCCAGUGAUCCAAGGUAGAAACUAUUCAUUUUAAGGAAGUUUUAGCAAACCUGGCUUUUAAGAAUGUUUGCUCUCAGCACCUUUGAGUUGUAAAAACAUAGAUUUCAGCCUGCCUGCUUCUGAAGGUUCUUUACCUGGCCCUGUGCUGUCUGAGAUGUUUUGAGUACAUCUGUCAUGCAUGUAGCUCCCAGGGAGAUUAUCAAAAUUUACAAGUCCUGGGCAAUGCCUUCCAGGUGAAAUAGAGAACUGGGAUCUGUUUAAUAAUCAAAGUUUCAAAGGUUCUCAGACAGUAAAACCCCAGCUAAAUUUUAAGCAUAAGAAGAAUGGAACAGUUUUCCUCUUAUCUAUCCAGACACCUUGCCUCAUGGGGAGGAAGUUUUCUUUUCUAAUAAAUAUGACAUAUUUCUGUAAUGGCAGGCAUUUACUUAGCAAAUACUAACUGAGUGGCUACCAUGUGUCAGCAGCUGAGUAGACACUUGGGAUACAUCAAGGAAUACAUAAAAAAAUGAUCCUUUAUAUUGGGAGUCUUGUCUAAAAGCUUUAUUUACAGAAUUAAAUUCUCAAGCAUUUUAGGCUAUUUGUAAAUAUGCAUAGAAUAUACUGUACGUGUUCCAUUGUUCUGUGAAUUACAAACUCGUAACCAGAGGGUCAGCUUAGCUCACAAACCAUUUUUUGGUUAGGCAAGUGGGCUUUGAAUUUACUUUGAAUGCUAUAAAAGAGCCAUGCACUGUAUGGAAGACACUGCCUGUUUUAUACACCCGUGGCUUUGCUCAUACCUGCCUGCCUGGCCCCUGAAGGCCUGUGUGUUCGUGACCUCUGGCAUUUGGCAUACCUGUGCUUGGCAUUGGUUCUUCAUGUUCACCUGGAAUUGUUGCUAUAAACUCUCUGUCCUCGCCUCAGAGAAUUCAGAUGUGCUGAAUGUAUUCAGAGCAAUGUCUAAAAAUGAGUUGUUCACAGGGAAUCAACUCACAAAACCACUCACAUGUAAAUACUCUGAGGUCAAAAAGGCCAGUAACUCACAUGCUUAGUAAUAGCUAAGCUGAUUCUAAAUUUAUUACAUCAUUCCCUUCCCUUACAUGGGAAAGGCAAGUUGAUUUGUUGUUCUUAGCAAAAUUGUGGUGGUUACAGGGGAAAUGAGCCCUUGCACUUAUUUUUGAGGAAGAUAAUAGAAGUCUUGUCUCUCAUUCAUGUCACUUGUCAUCCUAGUGCACUGAGCUCCUAUGCCCCUGUUCUUCUUCUGAAAUGAGCAAUUCUUCUACCCACACUCAUCUGCCCCCAAUAAAUCCUCCCCAUCCAUUGGAUCCAAUCCAUCCUUUUGUCACAGUUCCUUUCUCAUCUAUUAACAGCAAUUCUACUCUAACUCCUGUUGAUUUUCCCCUUUCUGAAUCCAUUACACACGUAGUCAGUGUUGUUCACCCAAUUAUUUAACACUUAUUAAUUGGUGGCCCUCCCCUAUCCCGGGCACUCCUAAUUUAGCAUCUAAUUAUAUAUUGUCUUGUAGUGUUUAAAGAUACCUGAGAUGUGGUCAUCUUGCCUCUUUGACAAAAGACGCAUCUACUGCUAUGAAGGACCAUGCCUGAAGCCACCUUGUCUUCCCCACAGUUCCCUGUGUGAGCUAGAAAACGAGCCUUCCCUGCCAUGGCAUUGAGAGGGAGCCCCCAGCCUGUUUGCCUCCUCCCCUGGACACUUCCUCCUCAGGACAGCUGAAUGACUGAAUGGAAGAGCCCACCACGCACUGAGCAAUGCCCCUGUAAAGAGCAGGCACCUUCUGGAACUCCACAAGUAAUUCCUUUUAUUGCAAGCACAGAAAGUUUUCAGUUGUGAUUAAUAAUGGGAUGAAUCUUCCUAGCUUCAGAUUAACGAGGCUCAAUUUCAAUUCCUAUAACGCAAGCCUAAUGUAGGGGCACAGCAUCAAGUCCUUGUUCCAGUCUCAGUUUUUACUAGGGUGACAAUACAAUUUACCUCCCAAAUCUUGGCACUUGUAAGAGUAAGACGAGUUGGACACCAGGACAAUAAGUGUUAACUGGGACUGUCACAGGGAAACUGGGACAUGUGCAUCCUAGUGUCUACAGUAGUAAAAUAAGGAGCAUCCUUUACCAUUAGCCAUUGAAGAAGGUAUGCAUUCUGGCCUCUGACCAUGUAAGGCAAAGGAAGACAACCUGCCUUCCAUCAGCAAGUCCUGCUACAACGUCCAUAUCAUUAAAUUUAGAG
ensembl:lncRNA